CAAAAUCGCUAUAGAUUUAAUUUUUAAAGAUUUUUAAAAAAUUGUUUCAAGAUAUUUUUCAAUUGGAACGAAACUGAGUGUCGGAAAGUAUUUUACUCUGAAAGUAAUUACCGGAAAUGUGUUUUGUGGUGAUAUAAAACAUUCUUCCGUUUGCUUUCAACAUAAAAUUAAACUGCUUUUUCUUUGCUGAAAGUUACACUGAACUGAAUCUUUGGAACAUUUAUAUUGAUUUGUAUUCAUGUAGUUUAGUAAAGAUUUUUUUAAUUGAAAAAUAUAUAACCCCUAACUUACAGCACAACUGCAAUAUGUUAGACACAUAAACAUGUUCACUCACGCAUUUAUUAUGAAAACACAACAGCCAACUGUUCAACCGGAAGUCUCGGCGUGUAGACCGGAAGCGCUUCUUCGUGUGUGGGCGGGGCGUGUGGUGUCAGCUGACUGGCGGCCGUCACAACACCGCUGACAACCUGCUAGCAGCUCCGUAGCUGUGCCGUCGGACCGGGGUAGCGGCGGGUUAUGAGGACUGGAGGUUCGGCUCAACCAGCGACUCAUGGCGGCCGAAGUGCAGCCGCGACCGCAGGCCCGGAAGCCGGGUCUGCUGAGCAAGAUCGAGGCGUUCCAGGAGGUCGUGAGCGCCGCGGUGAUCAUCCCCAAAGAGGACGGAGUCAUCAGCGUGUCGGAGGACAGGACGAUCCGGGUUUGGCUGAAGAGAGACAGCGGUCAGUACUGGCCCAGCGUCUACCACACGCUGCCCACCUCCAGCUCCUGCAUGUCCUUCAACCCCGAGACCAGGAGGCUCUCCCUGGGCAUGGACACCGGGAGCAUCUGUGAGUUCCUCCUGUCAGAAGACUACAACAAGAUGACCCCAACCAGCACCUUCCAGGCCCACCAGGGCCGGGUCUCAGUGGUGCUCUUCGUGUUGGAGAUGGAGUGGCUCCUGAGCACCGGCCAGGACAAGAACUUCAACUGGCUCUGCUCGGAGAGCGGCCAGCAGCUGGGCACGUACCGCACCGCCGCCUGGGUGUCCGGCCUGCAGUUUGACGUGGAGACCAGACACGCCUUCGUAGGAGACCAGUCGGGUCAGGUGACCAUCCUGAAGCUGGAGCAGGAAAGCUGCAGCCUGGUCACCACCUUCAAGGGACACACAGGUAAUGUGACGGCGCUGUGCUGGGACCCGGUCCAGAGGGUCCUGUUCUCCGGCAGCUCGGACCACUCCAUCAUCAUGUGGGACAUCGGGGGCCGCAAAGGCACCGCCAUCGAACUGCAGGGACACAAUGAUAAGGUUCAGGGCCUGUGCUACGCCUCACACACUCGUCAGCUGAUCUCCUGCAGCUCCGACGGAGGGAUCGUCAUUUGGAACAUGGACGUAACGAGACAAGAGACUCCCGAGUGGUUGGACAGCGACUCCUGUCAGAAGUGUGAGCAGCCGUUCUUCUGGAACUUCAAACAGAUGUGGGACAGCAAGAAGAUCGGCCUGCGACAGGUGGAAGCCUCCUUCUUCCUCUACUCUGGCCUCCUUCUUCCUCUACUCUGGCCUCCUUCUUCCUCUACUCUGGCCUCCUUCUUCCUCUACUCUGGCCUCCUUCUUCCUCUGCUCUGGCCUCCUUCUUCCUCUACUCUGGCCUCCUUCUUCCUCUACUCUGGCCUCCUUCCUCCUCUACUCUGGCCUCCUUCUUCCUCGACUCUGGCCUCCUUCCUCUUCUACUCUGGCCUCCUUCCUCUUCUACUCUGGCCUCCUUCCUCCUCUACUCUGGCCUCCUUCCUCCUCUACUCUGGCCUCCUUCUUCCUCUACUCUGGCCUCCUUCCUCUUCCACUCUGGCCUCCUUCUUCCUCUACUCUGGCCUCCUUCCUCUUCUACUCUGGCCUCCUUCCUCUUCUACUCUGGCCUCCUUUCUCCUCUACUCUGGCCUCCUUCCUCCUCUACUCUGGCCUCCUUCCUCCUCUACUCUGGCCUCCUUCUUCCUCUACUCUGGCCUCCUUCUUCCUCUACUUCCUCUACUCUGGCCUCCUUCCUCCUCUACUCUGGCCUCCUUCUUCCUCGACUCUGGCCUCCUUCCUCUUCUACUCUGGCCUCCUUCCUCUUCUACUCUGGCCUCCUUCUUCCUCUACUCUGGCCUCCUUCCUCCUCUACUCUGGCCUCCUUCUUCCUCUACUCUGGCCUCCUUCCUCCUCUACUCUGGCCUCCUUCUUCCUCUACUCUGGCCUCCUUCUUCCUCUACUCUGGCCUCCUUCCUCCUCUACUCUGGCCUCCUUUCUCCUCUACUCUGGCCUCCUUCCUCUUCUACUCUGGCCUCCUUUCUCCUCUACUCUGGCCUCCUUCCUCCUCUACUCUGGCCUCCUUCUUCCUCUACUCUGGCCUCCUUCCUCUUCUACUCUGGCCUCCUUUCUCCUCUACUCUGGCCUCCUUCCUCCAUCCAUCCAACUAUAGUUUAAAAGUAAAAACAGAACUUUAAGUUACAUUUCUGUAGAUUUACUGUACUAACUGUAACUGUUUUAAAAUGGCAUUAAAUGACCAAAGUCUGGACGUUUGGACUCCCUGUUGGUCCUGAUGUGGAUCCUCAGACUGGAGACCAUGUUGGCCCACCUCUGGUUGCUAAGCUACACCUUUGGUUGCUAAGCUACACUUUCCCCCCGUGUUCCCCAGCAUCACUGCAGGAAGUGCGGCCAGGCCGUGUGCGGCAAGUGCUCGUCCAGGCGCUCCACCAUCCCGCUCAUGGGCUUCGAGUUCGAGGUGCGCGUGUGCGACAGCUGCCACGAGUCCAUCAGCGACGAGGAUCGAGCCCCGACGGUCACGUUCCACGACAGCAAGCACAGCGUCGUCUACAUGCACUACGAGCCGACCACCGGGAACCUGCUGACCUCUGGAGCCGACAAGGUCAUCAAGCUGUGGGACAUGAGUCCCGUGGUGUCCUGAGCUCAGCAGGAAGCUCCGCUCACCAGAGACCGGGACGGGUCCACGGCGGCGGCCUCACCCAUCGACUCCCACGACAUAUUUAACAGCCUCCCCGGCGAGGACUCUGCGGGACGGGGUCUCGGUGGACUCGAGGCCUCGGACGGGUGGAACUCUUCAGGAGGGGUGGAGCAAUCGACUCCUUAUUUACUUAAUUUUCAUGCAUUCCUGCCGGCUUCUUCCUGGAAACAGGAAGUGACACGUUUUCAAACCCAAAACGCUUUCCACUCAUUCACCUUCAUUUCAGGGUUGAGAUCUAACGUUCAACCCCCCAGAGGACGUGGUUUAUUUAGUCAUGUUUAUAAAGGACAACACUAGAAGCUGUUGCAGGUCUCUCCUGUAGGUGGUGCUCUCGAGCUUAUUAACGCUCUCUCUGCAGCUCCUUCAGGGGACAGUCGUGAUGAGGAGCAGUGAUGCCGUUUGAGGUUCUUCUACAGUUUUACUACAAUAGAUGGAGCAAAGCAAUGUUCUGCUGUGGAAGUAGAACCUCAUACGACCACGACUCAACGUCGCUACUGUCCCUUUAAAUGCCGUCGCUUUCCUCGCUGACGGUUGGACUGAAUCCGGUGCAUGUUACCGGGUCAUGUUACCGGUGCAUGUUACCGGGUCAUGUUACCGGGUCAUGUUACCGGUGCAUGUUACCGGUGCAUGUUACCGGUGCAUGUUACCGGUGCAUGUUACCGGCUCAUGUUCCUAGAGCAUGUUACCGGUGCAUGUUACCGGUGCAUGUUACCGGCUCAUGUUCCUAGAGCAUGUUACCGGUGCAUGUUCCUAGAGCAUGUUACCGGCUCAUGUUCCUAGAGCAUGUUACCGGUGCAUGUUACCGGUGCAUGUUACCGGCUCAUGUUCCUAGAGCAUGUUACCGGUGCAUGUUCCUAGAGCAUGUUACCGGUGCAUGUUACCGGUGCAUGUUCCUAGAGCAUGUUACCGGUGCAUGUUACCGGGUCAUGUUACCGGGUCAUGUUACCGGGUCAUGUUACCGGUGCAUGUUACCGGUGCAUGUUACCGGUGCAUGUUACCGGCUCAUGUUCCUAGAGCAUGUUACCGGCUCAUGUUCCUAGAGCAUGUUACCGGUGCAUGUUACCGGCUCAUGUUCCUAGAGCAUGUUACCGGUGCAUGUUCCUAGAGCAUGUUACCGGUGCAUGUUACCGGUGCAUGUUCCUAGAGCAUGUUACCGGGUCAUGUUACCGGUGCAUGUUACCGGUGCAUGUUCCUAGAGCAUGUUACCGGUGCAUGUUACCGGGGCAUGGUACCGGGGCAUGUUUCUAGAGCAUGUUACCGGGUCAUGUUACCGGUGCAUUUUACCGGGGCAUGUUACCGGGGCAUGUUCCUAGAGCAUGUUACCGGGUCAUGGUACCGGGUCAUGUUCCUAGAGCAUGUUACCGGGUCAUGGUACCGGGUCAUGUUACCGGUGCAUGUUACCAGUGCAUGUUACCGGGUCAUGGUACCGGGUCAUGUUCCUAGAGCAUGUUACCGGGUCAUGUUACCGGUGCAUGUUACCGGGUCAUGUUCCUAGAGCAUGUUACCGGGUCAUGUUCCUAGAGCAUGUUACCGGGUCAUGUUACCGGUGCAUGUUACCGGUGCAUGUUACCGGGGCAUGUUCCUAGAGCAUGUUACCGGGGCAUGUUACCGGGUCAUGGUACCGGGUCAUGUUCCUAGAGCAUGUUACCGGGUCAUGGUACCGGGUCAUGUUACCGGGUCAUGGUACCGGGUCAUGUUACCGGGUCAUGGUACCGGGUCAUGUUCCUAGAGCAUGUUACCGGGUCAUGGUACCGGGUCAUGUUACCGGGUCAUGUUACCGGGUCAUGGUACCGGGUCAUGUUACCGGUGCAUGUUACCGGGUCAUGUUACCGGGUCAUGGUACCGGGUCAUGUUACCGGGUCAUGGUACCGGGUCAUGUUACCGGGUCAUGGUACCGGUGCAUGUUACCGGGUCAUGUUACCGGGUCAUGGUACCGGGUCAUGUUACCGGGUCAUGGUACCGGGUCAUGGUACCGGGUCAUGGUACCGGGUCAUGGUACCGGGUCAUGUUACCGGGUCAUGGUACCGGGUCAUGUUACCGGGUCAUGGUACCGGUGCAUGUUACCGGGUCAUGUUACCGGGUCAUGGUACCGGGUCAUGUUACCGGGGCUCUACGAGGUUUUUAAAGAGCGAUUAAACCUCAGUUUUGUAAAGGGGAGGUUUUUCGGCGUAUUCAUGAACCAGAGUGCAUGCUGGUCCUCAUUACAACUGAAUGAACAGCUGAUUCUGUUCUCAUCGUUUUGUGUCAUUGCACUGGAUUCAAGGAGGAAGAGGAAUUAUGAUUCUUUUUUUGUAAUUAUUAUGUUUGUGCUUUAAUGAUCAGACGGUAACUAAGUAUAAAUAAAUAUUUACUGAAUAUUUACUGAAUAUUUUAUAAAUAUUUCUUGAAUAUUCCCUAAUUAUUUCCCAAAGAUGUUUGAUAUUUAGAUUAAAAACCAGGUUGUUUCUAUCCAACACCUGAAAGCAUUCAUAAAGGUUCAUAUAAAGCAGCCGGUUACUGUAAGAAACUAAACUACAGUCGUCAUAAACAGCUCUAACUACAUAUCAUGUUGUAUUGUUUGGCAGACGAGGUUUAAAUGCACGGUGCAGCUUUUAGUUUCAGGGUGUUUUUUUCUGACCUUUCCAAGAAAAUCAACUGCAGAUCAAAAGAAUUUGGAAGAAAAGAGAAAAGAGGACGAGGAUGAACGAUUUAAAGAGGUCAAACAUGUUUGACCCUCUGCUCGUCUUCGUCGCUCUUCAUCGUCUUCACAAGCUGCUUGUUGGUUUCACUGGAACAGUAAAACACACACCUGAAAUCUAAAACGUCUGGUUUUUCAAAAUAAAAGCCUGUGAUAUCGUGUUUAAGGCUAUCCGUCUAAUGAACUGAGGCCAGUGGUCGUUGUGUUUCAGAUGAUGUGACGAGUUCACCUCCUCGACCAAUCAGGAGCUCUGCUGUCUCGUUCACUCACCUUGAAAGUUUGUGAAUAUGUAUAAAUAGUAAAUAAAACUAUGUACAGCAUGAACAUGUAAAGAUGACUACUCAGUUUGUACAAUGUGAAGGAUUUAUAGAUAUAACUGUAAAAUAAUCUUAAUCUGCAGCAGGUGUUUGAAAAGUUGAUUCUUUAUUGGCUUCAAAGAGCUUUUUGUUCCAAAAGUAAUAAAAUAAUUCUUGUUUUGA